rnacentral:rRNA from 1 species
GAUGAACGCUAGCGGCAGGCCUAAUACAUGCAAGACGAACGGUAAGUUGAGUAGCAAUACUUAGCCAAGAGUGUCGUACGGGUGCGUAACACGUAUGCAACCUACCCUAUACAGGAGGAUAGCCUAGGGAAACCUGGAUUAACCCUUCAUAGUAUUAUUGGAUGGCAUCAUUUGAUAAUUAAAACUGAGGUGGUAUAGGAUGGGCAUGCGUCUGAUUAGUUAGUUGGCGGGGUAAUGGCCCACCAAGACGAUGAUCAGUAGGGGUUCUGAGAGGAAGAUCCCCCACACUGGCACUGAGAUACGGGCCAGACUCCUACGGGAGGCAGCAGUAGGGAAUAUUGGUCAAUGGAUGCAAGUCUGAACCAGCCAUGCCGCGUGCAGGAAGAAGGCCUUCUGGGGUUGUAAACUGCUUUUGCCAGGGGGAUAAAAAUUUCCAUGCGUGGAAAACUGAAGGUACCUGGUGAAUAAGCCACGGCUAACUACGUGCCAGCAGCCGCGGUAAU